rnacentral:rRNA from 1 species
CUGGCUCAGGAUGAACGCUAGCUACAGGCUUAACACAUGCAAGUCGAGGGGCAGCAUGAUCUAGCUUGCUAAGAUGAUGGCGACCGGCGCACGGGUGAGUAACGCGUAUCCAACCUUCCCUAUAGUAGAGUAUAGCCCGGCGAAAGUCGGAUUAAUGCUCUAUGUUCUCUUUGAUGGCAUCUGAUGAGAAGCAAAGAUUUAUCGCUAUAGGAUGGGGAUGCGUCUGAUUAGGUUGUAGGCGGGGUAACGGCCCACCUAGCCGACGAUCAGUAGGGGUUCUGAGAGGAAGGUCCCCCACAUUGGUACUGAGACACGGACCAAACUCCUACGGGAGGCAGCAGUGAGGAAUAUUGGUCAAUGGACGCGAGUCUGAACCAGCCAAAGUAGCGUGCAGGACGACUGCCCUAUGGGUUGUAAACUGCUUUUAUAGGGGAAUAAAGUGAGGAACGUGUUCCUUUUUGUAUGUACCCUAUGAAUAAGGACCGGCUAAUUCCGUGCCAGCCGCGGC